rnacentral:rRNA from 1 species
AUACGUAGGAACCGAGCGUUGUCCGAAUUUACUGGGCGUAAAGGGCGCGUAGGCGGCCCGUUAAGUCUCAUGUGAAAUCUCCCGGCUUAACUGGGAGGGGUCAUGGGAAACUGGCAGGCUUGAGGGCAGCAGAGGGAAGCGGAAUUCCCGGAGUAGUGGUGAAAUGCGUAGAUACCGGGAGGAACACCAGUGGCGAAAGCGGCUUCCUGGACUGUACCUGACGCUGAGGCGCGAAAGCGUGGGGAGCAAACCGGAUUAGAAACCCCAGUAGUCC